rnacentral:snRNA from 1 species
GUGCUUGCUUUGGUAGUACAUAUAUUAAAACUGGAACAAUCUAGAGAUUAGCAUGGCCUCUGCAAAAAAAAAAAAAAAAAAAGGUGAUCUGCAAAUUUGU